rnacentral:lncRNA from 1 species
UACAUUCGAAAUGCCAAAAUAUCAUACUUAAGUUCAACAUCCUGCUACAGCUUUACAAAAAUAAAUCUAAGUCCUAAACUUAGCUAGCAGCUACUGCCGAAACACUUCAAGAGCAAAACACAACUUUGUCUUCAUUGUUCUUCAAUCAAUUAGUAGCUGUGGAUUAGAGGCCAAAAGAGUUUGAACAAGCAAUACAAGUCUGCAUAAAGUAGUAUAAUAAUUAGUAGGUAACAAGUAGCUUGAGCAAAACAAUAAACUAUCUUAUAUUUACCUACAACAAAACUCAAUCACGAUUAGAAUCUUAAUCAAGACAAGAACAAAUAAGGCAGAAAAUUAACAUAAGGACAAUAUCCCAAAUUAGCUUAGAAGUUAGCUAGUUAAGUAUUAGUGAGGUCAAUACCUUUUUAACAAACUACUCAAGGCCAAACAAAAAUAUUACUAGCUUUUCACGGAGUGGCUUAACAUGUCUUCCUAACAAAGUAAUGGAGCCAAAAGCUAACAAAGAAUUUUUUGACUGAAUAUUAUCUCUAACUCGAAUAGUAAAUUAUCGGAUAUCAUUUUACACACACUCAAAACAGUAAUAGAAAACCAACUACAAGCAGAGAUAUGCAAGAAAUCAUAGCUAGCAAAUGGUUGUACAUACUUUUCAUGACAGGAUAGAGAAAACAUGCUGUUGAAGGAACAAGGCCUUCCUAGGACUUUACAAACAAGACAAUCAAUAAAUACAAUCAAAUCAGAAAGUGUCCUCAAACACCUCUAUUCCUGAUAAAUUUCUACAUACCUGAGUUCUAUACAUAAAAGUUAGUCAAGGAAAGGGUACCCAGCUGGACUUGUGAAGGUUUAGGAAACUUGAUCUUAUACAAUAUAAAGAUUCUGUGGAUAUACUAAGAUCCCAACUUACUCCCUGCUCACGAUAAAUUGAUGUCUAACUUUGCAAUUAAUGCCAUGCAAUAAGAAAAAGAGUGGUAACGAUUUUCUCAAUUUUACCAUUGACUACUUGUUACCCAACCUUCUCCAUUUAUUAAAUUCAAUUCAUAAUGCAAUCCAUGUGUUUCCCACUUCUUAUUUAAGUUUCAAACAUUAUUGUUAUCUAAGUUCAUUUUAAGGUAGAGCCGACUCUAGCUAGGACAUCCAUUUGGAACAAAGGAGUGGAACACAAGUUAUCAGCUUUAAAGCUAUCUCACAUUUUUUAGAAUUUAUUUAUUAUAUGUUUCACAUUGUUAAAAUCUAUGAGUUAAUUAAAUAUAACAACUUGUAAAAGUUGCAUCUUACAAGACAAAAAAUUUUUAGUUCAUCAACUUGUAGCCAAGAAAUUUGUCCUCUUAUCAUGCCAACCAGAUCUAAAUGUGACUUUUUGAGAGACUAUGCUAGUAGGAAAGCACUUGCAUGUGAAAUAAACAUAUUAACCAUAAAAUCGUGCUUAAAAUCUUUGGAAAAAUGGUUUGGGGUUGAUGCAUGCACAAAUACUGGUUGUAUAUAGUUCCACACAAAAGCAAAAGCAUUGUUAAUUAUCGACCUAAAUAUGCAUCCAGUAACAUAAGUAUUGUUAAUAUUCACGUAAAAAAUGAUCAACUUGACCACUAGCCUAUCUAGAAAGAAGGCAGAGCAAGAGUACCUCAAUCCACUUUACAACAGGUUUUCUAGCAUGACCUUUAGAAUGGUAGCAAUUUUAGCAUGUCAAAGGAAGGAGUAAUCAUCCAAUAAGAAAUUCAUCAAAUUGAUCUUCUCCAACAAUUAAAAGGCACAAAAAGUUCCUAGCUUGCUUGAAAAGCCAUGCCAGCUUCUUACAAAAAUCCUGGUCAAAAGAUCAUUCCGUUGCAUCUUUAAGGAAAUGCUCUAUUCUAUCAGUCUCAAUACGUCAUUUAACAUUACAAAAAAAACACAUAAGACAACUUUUCCUAGAAUAUCAUAAGGAAAUGAAACUUAAAAGUGAUAAUUAACAAUGAUAAUGCCAAGUCUUUCACACCACCAAAAAAAGGGAAUAAUAGUGAUGUUGGAUAGCAAACUUUUUGAUACAAUUAAAGUCCACACUCGCUCAUUUUCUCAAGUACUCUAGAAACCUGAGAGAUUACAAUAGGCUAAUAAAGUCAUUAGAACCAGACAAAUCCCCUAAUCUAAAGCAACCGAAUUAGCAUGUUUCCUGAUUAUCUGGCAAUUUUACAUGUUUAUGACAGCAAGGUAGCAAACUUGGCAAGUAUCGCAUUAGAAUCAUGCUGCAGAAUCUUAUUCACAACAGAAUCUCUAGGGAUGCUACUAACCAAAGUGGCAUUCGUAUCUCAAUCUGAUUGACUAGGGACAAAUCUGUUAUAAUCUAACAGUACAUGACUAAUUUCAUGCUGAGAAUGAAAUUAAAAACACAAGGCGAAUACAAAUAGUCUUUAUUGUAUUCAUCUAUAAAGAAAGGGAUACACAAAGACUACCUAUUCAUUCUUGUAAAUUGAUACUCAAAUAAAUCAAAACAAACAACAAAAUUAAAUAGCCACCUUAGUUUCAUAAGGAAAAUUUUCAUGAUUUUUUUAUCCUUCCUUUUCAAUGAAUCAUUUAUUGGCAUAAACAGCCUUAGAUUAAUGAGGCAGUAAAAAGUUUUAAUUGACAUCCAACUCCAUCUAAAUAUUUGGGAUCUAGGUAGUUUUUAAUCAUCCAACUCGUAGCCAUGUUUUCUGUCUUGUAUCCUAAGAUAAAGAUAUAUGCAUCCAAGAUUAUUUUAAUGAAGGCACAAUAACUAAAUUGGGGAAACUAAUCAUCGCAAACAGCAACAAAGAAACUCCAAAGUAAUGAAACACAAAUUUUAUCAUUCAAAUUGAUCACAAUCAGGUGCAUGUGCUAAAAGUAAAACAAAUAUGAACAUGAUGUACUAUUAAAUCAGCGUUAUCAUCAGAUGACAACUCAAUGCUUAUAAUUUAAAUAAACAUUAGUACUGGUGAACAGCAGUACAUUUUUGUAGGUCAUUCGCAAAGCAAAAAUUCUAGUAAAGUGUACUCAUGAUUACUAAACAAAAGAAAAAGGACUGAGGGAGAGUGCCUGUAAAGUACCUCAAAGUGAAAA